UACGUAGGGAGCAAGCGUUGUCCGGAAUCAUUGGGCGUAAAGCGCGCGUAGGUGGCCUCAUAAGUCCGUUGUGAAAGUCAAAGGCUCAACCUUUGAAAGCCGAUGGAUACUGUGAGACUAGAGUACGGAAGAGGCGAGUGGAAUUCCUGGUGUAGCGGUGAAAUGCGCAGAUAUCAGGAGGAACACCGGUGGCGAAGGCGGAUCUCUGGGCCUUGCCUGACGCUGAGGCGCGAAAGCUAGGGGAGCGAACAGG
rnacentral:rRNA from 1 species